CUCCAUUAACCCAACCGGCUUUACCUAAAAAGCAAUGCACCAGAAGAAUCUAGUGACUCAUGAAAAAGGCUAUACCUUCAAGAUAAUAUUUCUUAUAUAAAAAAAAAAGCAAAAGAAAAGAAAAGAAAAGAAAAGCACCAAGAGUAAAGAACCAUUAACCACAACUUUAAAUACGUAUGCUCGCUUCCCCUGCGAAACUCUCUCUCCCCUUUUACCUUCGCCCCUAAGUCUUCUUUUCAUCGCCUUGCUUUCUCUUUGUUUUUUGUUUUGGUUUCCCCUGUUCUUCAAUGGCAGAUGUAGACACCUACACCAAAGGGCAGCAACUAGUAAAAGAACAUAACCAAGCAAACCCAAGUAAGUGUCAUACGAAUUACCUUUACAAAGCCUUCGUAGUCAUAAUUUUCUUGGUUAUAAUCCCACUUUUUCCCUCACAAGCCCCUGAAUUCAUCAACCAAUCCCUACUCACCAGAAGCUGGGAGCUUCUUCACCUUCUAUU
rnacentral:lncRNA from 1 species